GGGGGCGCCAUAAUACAUGCAGUCGAGCGAACGGAUAAGGAGCUUGCUCCUUUGAAGUUAGCGGCGGACGGGUGAGUAACACGUGGGUAACCUACCUAUAAGACUGGAAUAACUUCGGGAAACCGGAGCUAAUGCCGGAUAACAUAUAGAACCGCAUGGUUCUAUAGUGAAAGAUGGUUUUGCUAUCACUUAUAGAUGGACCCGCGCCGUAUUAGCUAGUUGGUAAGGUAAUGGCUUACCAAGGCGACGAUACGUAGCCGACCUGAGAGGGUGAUCGGCCACACUGGAACUGAGACACGGUCCAGACUCCUACGGGAGGCAGCAGUAGGGAAUCUUCCGCAAUGGGCGAAAGCCUGACGGAGCAACGCCGCGUGAGUGAUGAAGGUUUUCGGAUCGUAAAACUCUGUUAUUAGGGAAGAACAAAUGCGUAAGUAACUGUGCGCAUCUUGACGGUACCUAAUCAGAAAGCCACGGCUAACUACGUGCCAGCAGCCGCGGUAAUACGUAGGUGGCAAGCGUUAUCCGGAAUUAUUGGGCGUAAAGCGCGCGUAGGCGGUUUCUUAAGUCUGAUGUGAAAGCCCACGGCUCAACCGUGGAGGGUCAUUGGAAACUGGGAAACUUGAGUGCAGAAGAGGAAAGUGGAAUUCCAUGUGUAGCGGUGAAAUGCGCAGAGAUAUGGAGGAACACCAGUGGCGAAGGCGACUUUCUGGUCUGUAACUGACGCUGAUGUGCGAAAGCGUGGGGAUCAAACAGGAUUAGAUACCCUGGUAGUCCACGCCGUAAACGAUGAGUGCUAAGUGUUAGGGGGUUUCCGCCCCUUAGUGCUGCAGCUAACGCAUUAAGCACUCCGCCUGGGGAGUACGACCGCAAGGUUGAAACUCAAAGGAAUUGACGGGGACCCGCACAAGCGGUGGAGCAUGUGGUUUAAUUCGAAGCAACGCGAAGAACCUUACCAAAUCUUGACAUCCUUUGAAAACUCUAGAGAUAGAGCCUUCCCCUUUCGGGGGACAAAGUGACAGGUGGUGCAUGGAUUGUCGUCAGCUCGUGUCGUGAGAUGUUGGGAUAGUCCCGCAACGAGCGCACCGUAAGCUAGCUGCAUCAUUAGGUUGGUCACUCUAGUUGGACUGGCGGUGAACAAACCGGAGGAAAGGGUGGGGAUUG
rnacentral:rRNA from 1 species